GUGGGGAAUCUUGCGCAAUGGGCGAAAGCCUGACGCAGCCAUGCCGCGUGAAUGAUGAAGGUCUUAGGAUUGUAAAAUUCUUUCACCGGGGACGAUAAUGACGGUACCCGGAGAAGAAGCUCCGGCUAACUUCGUGCCAGCAGCCGCGGUAAUACGAAGGGGGCUAGCGUUGCUCGGAAUUACUGGGCGUAAAGGGCGCGUAGGCGGACAGCUUAGUCAGAGGUGAAAGCCCAGGGCUCAACCUUGGAAUUGCCUUUGAUACUGGCUGUCUUGAGUUUGGGAGAGGUGAGUGGAACUCCGAGUGUAGAGGUGAAAUUCGUAGAUAUUCGGAAGAACACCAGUGGCGAAGGCGACUCACUGGCCCAAUACUGACGCUGAGGUGCGAAAGCGUGGGGAGCAAACAGGAUUAGAUACCCUUGUAGUCC
rnacentral:rRNA from 1 species